rnacentral:antisense_RNA from 1 species
CUUGAUCGAACCCAGCCACAACGGUCGAUCCGCUGCGCGGCCCUGCCCGUAGGUCGCGAGCAGGGCUUGCGCUUC